rnacentral:rRNA from 1 species
GGGAGGCAGCAGUAAGGAAUAUUGGACAAUGGGGGCAACCCUGAUCCAGCCAUCCCGCGUGUAGGAAGACGGCCCUAUGGGUUGUAAACUACUUUUACUAGGGAAGAAUGUGUGAUAUUUAUAUCAUUUUGACGGUACCUAGAGAAUAAGCACCGGCUAACUCCGUGCCAGCAGCCGCGGUAAUACGGAGGGUGCGAGCGUUAUCCGGAAUCACUGGGUUUAAAGGGUGCGUAGGCGGCGUUGUAAGUCAGAGGUGAAAGGCACGAGCUUAACUGGUGAAUUGCCUUUGAUACUGCAGUGCUUGAAUUGAGUUGAGGUUAGCGGAAUGUGACAUGUAGCGGUGAAAUGCAUAGAUAUGUCAUAGAACACCAAUUGCGUAGGCAGCUAGCUAGGCUUUAAUUGACGCUGAGGCACGAAAGCGUGGGGAGCGAACAGGAUUAGAUACCCUGGUAGUCCACGCCCUAAACGAUGUUUACUCGAUGUUUGGACAGUAAGUUUGAGCAUCCAAGGGAAACCAUUAAGUAAACCACCUGGGGAGUACGUCGGCAACGAUGAAACUCAAA